rnacentral:rRNA from 1 species
UACGGAGGGUGCAAGCGUUAUCCGGAUUUACUGGGUUUAAAGGGUGUGUAGGCGGGCAUUUAAGUCUGGGGUGAAAUCUCCGAGCUCAACUCGGAAACUGCCUUGGAUACUAUUUGUCUUGAAUUAUGUUGAGGUUGGCGGAAUAUAACAUGUAGCGGUGAAAUGCAUAGAUAUCGGGAGGAACACCAGUGGCGAAGGCGACUUCCUGGCCCGUUCUUGACGCUGAGGCGCGAAAGCUAGGGGAGCAAACGGG